GGGCUCCUUCCUGCAGCACAUACACUAAAACCAAAAUGACACACAGAAGAAUCAAAUGACCCCUGCAUGACAAUGACACACAAAUUUGUGAAGCUUUAUAUAUAUUU